CAGUAACGGCGAGUGAAGCGGCAACAGCUCAAAUUUGAAAUCUGGCUCCUUCGGGGUCCGAAUUGUAAUUUGUAGAGAGUGCUUCGGGCGAGACCUCGGUCUAAGUCCAUUGGAACAUGGUGUCAUAGAGGGUGAGAAUCCCGUAUGCGACCGCGGCUCGAGCCCAUGUGAAGCCUCUUCGACGAGUCGAGUUGUUUGGGAAUGCAGCUCAAAACGGGUGGUAAAUUUCAUCUAAAGCUAAAUACUGGCUGGAGACCGAUAGCGCACAAGUAGAGUGAUCGAAAGAUGAAAAGCACUUUGGAAAGAGAGUCAAACAGUACGUGAAAUUGUUGAAAGGGAAGCGCUUGCAACCAGACCUGCCCGUAGGCGAUCAGCCGCUGUUCUCAGCGGUGCACUCGCUCUGCGAUCAGGCCAGCAUCGGUUUCGGCGGUCGGAUAAAGGCCUUGGGAAUGUAGCUCCCCUUCGGGGGAGUCUUAUAGCCCUCGGUGCAAUGCGGCCAGCCGGGACCGAGGACCGCGCUUCGGCUAGGAUGCUGGCGUAAUGGUUGUAAGCGACCCGUCUUGAAACACGGACCAAGGAGUCUAACAUCUAUGCGAGUGUUUGGGUGUCAAACCCAUACGCGGAAUGAAAGUGAACGGAGGUGAGAACCCUUAAGGGCGCAUCAUCGACCGAUCCAGAUGUCUUCGGAUGGAUUUGAGUAUGAGCAUAGCUGUUGGGACCCGAAAGAUGGUGAACUAUGCCUGAAUAGGGUGAAGCCAGAGGAAACUCUGGUGGAGGCUCGCAGCGGUUCUGACGUGCAAAUCGAUCGUCAAAUUUGGGUAUAGGGGCGAAAGACUAAUC
rnacentral:rRNA from 1 species